rnacentral:rRNA from 1 species
AACGAACGCUGGCGGCAGGCUUAACACAUGCAAGUCGAGCGCCCCGCAAGGGGAGCGGCAGACGGGUGAGUAACGCGUGGGAAUCUACCGUGCCCUAAGGAAUAGCUCCGGGAAACUGGAAUUAAUACCUUAUACGCCCUAUUGGGGAAAGAUUUAUCGGGGUAUGAUGAGCCCGCGUUGGAUUAGCUAGUUGGUGGGGUAAAGGCCUACCAAGGCGACGAUCCAUAGCUGGUCUGAGAGGAUGAUCAGCCACAUUGGGACUGAGACACGGCCCAAACUCCUACGGGAGGCAGCAGUGGGGAAUAUUGGACAAUGGGCGCAAGCCUGAUCCAGCCAUGCCGCGUGAGUGAUGAAGGCCCUAGGGUUGUAAAGCUCUUUCACCGGUGAAGAUAAUGACGGUAACCGGAGAAGAAGCCCCGGCUAACUUCGUGCCAGCCGCCGCAGUAAUAC